ACCUCGAGUGCCAGGAUACAAUCCUGGCCGUCGUAAUGCCUAACAUUAUUGCAUAGCAAGGGCCGGGCAAGACCGGUGCCAGCCGCCGCGGUAACACCGGCGGCUCGAGUGGUAACCGCUAUUAUUGGGUCUAAAGGGUCUGUAGCCGGCUGACUAAGUCUCUUGGGAAAUCUGGCAGCUCAACUGUCAGGCUUUCAGGAGAUACUGAUCGGCUCGAGACCGGGAGAGGUGAGAGGUACCUCAGGGGUAGGGGUGAAAUCUUGUAAUCCUUGAGGGACCACCAGUGGCGAAGGCGUCUCACCAGAACGGAUCUGACGGCAAGGGACGAAAGCUAGGGGCACGAACCGGAUUAGAUACCCGGGUAGUCCUAGCCGUAAACGAUACUCGCUAGGUGUCGGCCACGGUGCGACCAUGGUCGGUGCCGUAGGGAAGCCGUGAAGCGAGCCACCUGGGAAGUACGGCCGCAAGGCUGAAACUUAAAGGAAUUGGCGGGGGAGCACUACAACGGGUGGAGCUUGCGGUUUAAUUGGAUUCAACGCCGGAAAUCUCACCGGGACCGACAGCGAUAUGAAGGCCAGGCUGAAGACCUUGCCGGAUUAGCUGAGAAGUAGUGCAUGGCCA
rnacentral:rRNA from 1 species